CCCGGCAUGGUGGCAUGCCUCUGUAGUCCCAGCUACCCAGGAGGCUGAGGCAGGAGGAUCACUGAGCCCAGGAGUUCUGGGCUGCAGUGAGCUAUGCCGAUCAGGUGUCCACACCAAGUUCAACCUCAAUAUGGUGACCUCCCUGGAGUGGGGAACCAUCAGGUUACCUAAGGAGGGGUGAACCUGCCCAGGUGGAAAAUGGAGCCACUGCAGUCCAGCCUGGGCAACAUAGUGAGACCCUGUCUCU
rnacentral:SRP_RNA from 1 species